AAUUAUCAUGAUAUUUCUGGCAAAAAUGUUAAAAGUGUGAGCAUAGAUUAUCAUGAAUUUAUGGUGACAUAUUUGAUUCCUUCAUACAUCUCACGAGAGAAGAGCUAGAGGGUAGGGAAGGCACAACUAUUUCACUAUAAAUUGAGGUGUUGGGAAGUCUCUUAAUCCAUCCCAAACUCUCACCUCUUCCUCCACACCAAAAACAAAAAACCCCUCCUCUCCUCUCCUCUCCUCUCCUCUUCUCUUCUCUUCUCUUCUCUUCUCUUCUUCCCUCUCUCACCUAAUAUUUCUCUUCUCUAUGUCCUGACACUUAGCUUUUCUCCCUAUAAGAGGAGGCUUGGGUGCUGAAGUCGCUUUAGGCGGUGACGAUUGUGAAAUUUGUGGUCUUUUAAGAAUUGAUUAAUUGUAGAGGAGGCACUGGUGAUGUUGCUGACAGAAGAUAGAGAGCACAGAUGAUGAAAUGCAAGGAGCUACAGCAUCUCACUCCUUUGUGCUCUCUAUUCUUCUGUCAUCACCCUCAGCCCCUGAUCACUUCAUAUUCAUACUAAGAAAAUGAUGUCCUUGUUCUUUCCAUUUCCACUAUAAAGUUGUAUAUUAGUAUUAUCUUUAUGCUCUCUAUAAUCUUCUUGAGCCCUACUCUUUUUUCGUAUUACUAUUAAUCUUCCUGAGAUCAUUUCUACAAUUUUGUUGAGAAUUGUUUUGGAAUUCUUCAUUUAACACAAAUAUUAUGCUAAUUAGACAUGUUUACUAUUAUUUUCUGCAGGUUAUAUUGGACGUGCAAGGAAAACUGCAGGAAGUCAACAUAUCUCUCUAGCCCUGAAAACCAUAGAUGACUAAAGUACUUCUAUUGUGUUUGAGGCGAGUAAUUGAUACCAACUGUUACAGUUUGAUCAUGGAUCAUAUAACCCAAAAAACUGUAUAACUAACCUGAAAGGCACUAUAUGGUUAUGAAGAAAUAUCAAUAGGAUUUUUUUUUUUUUUUUUUUUUUUUAAUUUGUUCAUGUGCAGCCCCCCUUCAUUUCAUUUGUACCCUAAUUGAUUGCUUAUGAGAGAGCUAUGUAUGUUAAUAUGUAAUUCAUAAAAUCAGCUCGUUUGAAGUUGGAAAUUAUUAUUAACUUGUUAAUAUAUAUAAAAGGAGUAUGCUCAGGGCAAUGAUUUCUUUAAGAUUAUCCGCCUCUAAUCCUUUCUCUAAAGAUUUCCUGUUGAGGUCCGACCUAAAUAGGUUCUAUUUUCUGCGACCAUACAUAUAGUAACAUCCAUACAAGUAUGUAAUAUGCUAGUCUUUGAUAUUGCCAAUUAUUUUGAGAGGACACUAUGCUUUUGCAUUAAGAGAAUCUCAAUAUGGAUGAAUAUAAUUAUAAUCCAUGCAAAAAGAAAUUUAAUUGAACACAUAGUAGCGUCCCCAGGGUUUUUAGCUAGGGCUGUCAUUGUUUUCAUAAGCAUCAUGACAUAUAAAUUGUUUUUCUUUAGGACAUCAUGUUUGUAGCCAAUUAACAGGGUUAUUGUGGUGUUCAUUUGAAACUAUAUGCUUCUCCUUAUAGAAGGAUCCCCCCCCCCCCCCCCCCCCCUUUUUUGAUUUCAUUAGGCUUUUGUUUUUGGUUCAUUAUUUUAACCACAACCAUUAUUACUCGCUGAUUUAUUGUUGUUUAGGGACAAUAAUUGGUUUGUUAAAUGGUUUUUGAUCGGUGUAUAUGUCCGUAAUAGACAAAUAGUCAACAAGGUUGUAUAGUUCAAUUGAUCUAUCUUUGCAGUUUUGGAAAUCACUAAAUAUGUCAUUUAUUAAGCAUUUAUAUAUUUUGGGAAGAGUUUCCCUUGAUGGCAAUGCUUGCAUCACUUCCUAUCAAAAGGUCUACCUCCUUAGUUUAGAAAUUACAUCGAAGAAGGAUUCAAGCUUAAUCCUUAUAAAUAAUGAUCAAUUCAUAUACCCUAGAUUGUGUAGAUUUGAUAUUGUACAUGAUUUUAUUAGUGUGCAUUAUGUUGUUGUGUCUGAAGUCUUAUCUGAGGUGUUUAUUAGGUAAACCUUAAUUAUAUAAAGUUUUAAUUGUAACUUAAUUAGUCUUUUUGGUUAUAGUGUAGAUAUGGCCACCUUGAGUUUUCUUCUAUCGUGACAAUAUUGUAUUCUUCAACUUCCAAGUUGAAGUCAGCACUAAGGCAGGUGAAAAGAAAUAUUUAACGCCACACCCUCAAUGUUGACAUGGAGACUUAAGACUGUCCUGAUAAAGUGUUUGGAAAUGAUACUUACGGAAAGCAUGAAAUUAACUUCAAUCCUAAGCUACCUAAUCAACGAGCUUGAUGUUGAGUUGUUAAGGAUAUGGAAUGUCCUCAUCUCUAAGCAAUAUGGAGUAAGAAUUGAAUUAAGAGGUUCGUAAUGAAAUAUGAUGUUGGAAUUGAUUUGAAGUUUUCGUUGAAAAAAUAAACUGAAAAUCUUCAAGUCCUUUGA